UAACAUGUGCGCGAGUCAAAGGGUCGACCGAAACCCCAAGGCGAAAUGAAAGUGAAGCGCCGAUUGCGCGACUUGUCGCGUACUGAGGUGUGUAGGCAGGAUCCCGCCGCAAGGCGGGCGCACUGCCGGCCCGUCUCGAGAACAAUUGCGUGAGGCGGAGCAAGAGCGUACACGUUGGGACCCGAAAGAUGGUGAACUAUGACCGAGUAGGACGAAGCCAGAGGAAACUCUGGUGGAGGUCCGUAGCGAUUCUGACGUGCAAAUCGAUCGUCAAACUUGGCUAUAGGGGCGAAAGACUAAUCGAACCAUCUAGUAGCUGGUUCCUUCCGAAGUUUCCCUCAGGAUAGCUGGCACUACCGUAGCAGUAGCACUUCGGUAAAGCGAAUGAUUAGAGGCCUUGGGGGCCCAAAUGCACCUCAACCUAUUAUCAAACUUUAAAUGGGUGCGAAGUCCGACUCGCUCCAUUGGAGCCGGGCAUAGUAUGCAAAGUGCCAAGUGGGCCACUUUUGGUAAGCAGAACUGGCGCUGUGGGAUGAACCAAACGUGCGGUUAAGGCGCCAAAGACUGAUGCUAAUUGGAUACCAUAAAAGGUGUUGGUUGAUAUAGACAGCAGGACGGUGGCCAUGGAAGUCGGAAUCCGCUAAGGAGUGUGU
rnacentral:rRNA from 1 species